UCCGGUUUGUCACCGGCAGUCUCGCAUGAGUCCCCAACUAAAUGCUGGCAACAUGCGACGGGGGUUGCGCUCGUUGCGGGACUUAACCCAACAUCUCACGACACGAGCUGACGACAGCCAUGCACCACCUAUCGCAGGCCCUUUCGGACACCGUAUCUCUACGGCUUUUCCUGCGUAGUUCAACCCAGGCAAGGUUCUUCGCGUUGCAUCGAAUUAAACCACAUGCUCCACCGCUUGUGCGGGCCCCCGUCAAUUCCUUUGAGUUUCAGCCUUGCGGCCGUACUCCCCAGGCGGAACACUUAACGCGUUGGCUGCGGCACAGAGGGAUUCGACUCCCCCCACACCUAGUGUUCAUCGUUUACGGCUAGGACUAC
rnacentral:misc_RNA from 1 species